GAGACAGCAGUAGCCGCGGGAAUACGUAGGUGGCAAGCGUUGUCCGGAAUUAUUGGGCGUAAAGGGUGCGUAGGCGGUUUGAUAAGUCUGAUGUGAAAUCUAUGGGCUCAACCCAUAGUCUGCAUCGGAAACUGUCAGGCUUGAGAGUGGGAGAGGUGAGUGGAAUUUCCGGUGUAGCGGUGAAAUGCGUAGAUAUCGGAAGGAACACCUGUGGCGAAAGCGGCUCACUGGACCAUUUCUGACGCUGAUGCACGAAAGCUAGGGGAGCAAACAGGAUUAGAUACCCCAGUAGUCCCUGUCUCUUAUAC
rnacentral:rRNA from 1 species